rnacentral:lncRNA from 1 species
UUUUCUCUGUUGGAGUGCCUUCAUUUACAAAGCAUAUUUUUCAAGUCUUUUGCUAAGAGUAAUGCCAUGGAGCAGCCUCCCAUCAUUCUUGUUAAUAGGACUGUCUGUGUGUUACAGUAAACAGCUAUAACUCUUCUGUUGGAGCCGUUGUGCAGCAGGCAGAGUUUGUUCAGUAUCCAAUUAAGGGUGUCUCCAAUUUGCCAGCCAGGAUCAUGAGAGCUGUGACUCAGCCAUCAGGCAACCUGGGCAUUGUGGAGGCUUCUCAAAGUAGAGAGGGCUGAUGCCCUUCCUCCUCCGCAGCAAGGGGACUGGAGCCUGGCUCUAGACGAUCUCUGUUUUGUUUUGUUUUGUUUUGUUUUGUUUUGUUUUGUUUUGUUUUUACAUGGAGUUUCGCUCUUGUUGCCCAGGCUGGAGCAUAGUGGUGCGAUCUUGGCUCACGGCAACCUCUGCCUCACGGGUUCAAGUGAUUUUCCUGCCUCAGCCUCCCAAGUAGCUGGGAUUACAAGAGUGUGCCACCACGCCUAGCUAAUCUUGCAUUUUCAGUGGAGACAGGGUUUCAACAUGUUGGUCAGGCUGGUCUCAAACUCCUGACCUCAAGUGAUUCAGCCGCCUCGCCUCCCAAAGUGCUGGGAUUACAGGUGUGAGGCACCACAUCCGACCUCUGCUCUUCCUCAAAGGCCACCAAAUCAUGCCAGCUAACUGUGCAAAGAUGUUAGCCUGAUAGUCAAAGCUCUUCCCAGACUCUUAUAAACAUAGAAGAACAUAGCGGUUAAGAACAUGAGCUCUGCAGCAGGAUUACACGGAUUCCAAUCUCAGCUCAGCCACAUACUAGCUGUGUGAUGUUGGAUGAGAACAUUGAGGCCUAGGGCAUUUCAAUAGCUUGCCAAAGGGCUCAUCAUUCUCGGGUAACAGGAUGAGGCCAGACACCAAGGAUCCCUGGAUCCAUGCCCUACUCUCCACACUUGUCUUGGGUCUAUGAAGCCCCCAGUCCCAAGGUAAGUCAUG